rnacentral:rRNA from 1 species
GAUGAACGCUAGCGGCAGGCCUAACACAUGCAAGUCGAGGGAGAAGCCCUUUCGGGGGCAGAAACCGGCGCACGGGUGCGUAACGCGUAUGCAACCUACCUUUCACAGGGAGAUAGCCCGAAGAAAUUUGGAUUAAUACCCCAUAAUAUUGUUGGAUGGCAUCAUCUGGCAAUUAAAACUGCGGUGGUGAAAGAUGGGCAUGCGUCCUAUUAGCUAGUUGGAGUGGUAACGGCACCCCAAGGCUACGAUAGGUAGGGGUCCUGAGAGGGAGAUCCCCCACACUGGUACUGAGACAGGGACCAGACUCCUACGGGAGGCAGCAGUGAGGAAUAUUGGUCAAUGGUCGGAAGACUGAACCAGCCAUGCCGCGUGCAGGAAGAAUGCCUUAUGGGUUGUAAACUGCUUUUAUAUGGGAAGAAUAAGGUGUACGAGUACAUUGAUGACGUACCAUAUGAUAAGC